AGGCCGGCGAGCUGCGAACUGGCGGGCUGCGGGUGGCUGCGGACCGCACCGCGGGGAGGCGGAAAGUUUCUCCGCCCGCCUCGUCCUGCGAGCCGGCGUCGCCCGCUGCGGGCCCUGCCCGGCCGAGCAGUUCCGCAAAAAGAGAGGAUCGCACAGCAAAAUACAGUGGAAACAAAACCCCAAGCCAGCCGCGAGGCGCAGGGGGCAGGUACUCACAAAUCCAAGCUCCAGAAGGAACCCACGUCGUGGUCAGAAAUAGACCGGAGGGGACUGCGCGGGCUGUGCAGGGCUGAGGGGAGAUCGUGUUCUGUGCCCUGUCUGUCCAGUGCUGCUCAGUCGCUCCCAUUACCCCAGAACUCAGAGUGGACGGAGCUGCAGAUGCAAAGUCUUUGCUGUCACCAAGCUCAUAUUCUGGUGGAGACACACACAGUAAACAAUCUCAUUUAAAAAUAAGAGUCUGGUAGGUGAAGGCAAGGAGAUUGUAGAAAAGAACAAAACAAAACAGAUUGGUGUAAUAGAAGUAGUGGAGGAGCUUGAAUUUUUCUGUGGUAUCCAGGGAAAGCCACCUCACUUAGGGAG
rnacentral:lncRNA from 1 species